UGGGAAGCCAGUGCCAGUGGUGGGUUUGAGCAGGGAACCAGCAACCAGUGGUGGGUUUGAGCAGGGAACCAGCAAUACUCAAGCUCUGCUAGGAUGGAGGCCAGUCAGGGAGGAGUUAGGGCAGGAGGACCGGUCAGGGAGGAGACUCAGGGCAGGAGGACAGGUCAGGGAGGAGACUUAGGGCAGGAGGACAGGUCAGGGAGGAGUUAGGGCAGGAGGACGGGUCAGGGAGGAGUUAGGGCAGGAGGACCGGUCAGGGAGGAGUUAGGGCUAGAGGAUCGGUCAGGGAGGAGUUAGAGCAGGGGGACUGGUCAGGGAGGAGUUAGGGCAGGAAAAUCGGUCAGGGAGAAGUCAGGGCAGGAGGACUGGUCAGAGAGGAGUUAGGGUAGGAGGCCAGUCAGGGAGGAGUUAAGGGUAGGAGGACCGGUCAGGGAGGAGACUCAGGGCAGGAAGACGGGUCAGGGAGGAGACUUGGGCAGGAGGACCAGUCAGGGAGGAGUUAGGGCAGGAGGACCGGUCAGGGAGGAGUUAGGGCAGGAGGACUGGUCAGGGAGGAGACUUAGGGCAGGAGGACCAGUCAGGGAGGAGUUAGGG
rnacentral:lncRNA from 1 species